AGGAUGAACGCUGGCGGCGUGCUUAACACAUGCAAGUCGAACGAUGACAGAGGAGCUUGCUCCUCUCGAUUAGUGGCGAACGGGUGAGUAACACGUGAGUAACCUGCCCUUGACUCUGGGAUAAGCGUUGGAAACGACGUCUAAUACCGGAUACGACCCUCGGAGGCAUCUCCUGAGGGUGGAAAGAAUUUCGGUCAAGGAUGGACUCGCGGCCUAUCAGCUAGUUGGUGAGGUAACGGCCCACCAAGGCGACGACGGGUAGCCGGCCUGAGAGGGUGACCGGGCCACGACCUGGGACUGGAGACACGGCCCAGACUCCUACGGGAGGCAGCAGUGGGAAUAUUGCACAAUGGGCGCAAGCCUGAUGCAGCAACGCCGCGUGAGGGACGACGGCCUUCGGUUGUAAACCUCGUUUUAGUAGGGAAGAAGCGAAAGUGACGGUACCUGACAGAAAAGCACCGGCUAACUACGUGCCAGCAGCCGC
rnacentral:rRNA from 1 species